rnacentral:lncRNA from 1 species
AAACUUAAGUUUUCGUACAAAUUUGGAGCAGUGUAUCAGAAUCACGCCGGAACCAACUCAAUGUAUCCAGCAGCGGUAAAGGAUCCCUAUCAUCCGCCGGUGGCAGUACCUUAUGCCCCACCAGCCCAACCUCCACCGGCUGGAUAUCCUCCUCCUGGAUCGUAUGUCCCGCCACCUCCCCCGUCAGGAUACCCUGCCCCUGGACCGUCAGGAUACCCCAUCCCUGGACCGUCAGGAUACCCCGCUCCUGCACAGGCAGCCGGAGGAUAUGGAUAUCCUUACGGAGGAUACCCACCAAACCCGCCCCCAUCCGGAUAUCCACC